AUGAGCUUUUCAAGGCCCGAGGGAAUUUUUGACACCGACGACCCGCUCCAGACACCCGCCGGGCAGGCUAAGCCCGCACCACGGGCGCUGCGGGGCGUCCAGACUUCCCCGGAGGCGCGGGCGGGCGGCCGGUGCCUCCCUGCCGCUGCUUCGGCGCCAGCCCUCGGUGCGCCACACGCGUAUUGUGAUGUGACAGCGGGCGCCGGCCUCGAAGGCGGUUUGCGCCCGAGCCUCCGUGUGGGUGAGCGCCUGAGCGCUCCUCUGGCACCCGGGGCUCCGGACACGAGACUCUGCGCUGGGGGUCUCCGCCUCAGCCAACGGCCGCCCCGCGAGGCACCUGGCGCGCUCCGCCCCUUUCCGAAACCGCCGCCUGCGAGCUCCGCCCCCUCCCCUGCCGCCGCGACGCGAACGCGCACAAGGCCGGCUCGCGCGCCCGGUGCUUCGCCAAGUGGUGCGCGCCGCGGUCCGCGUGUCCAGCGAGUCCUACUCUGCCACGCUGCCCGCGCGCUUUUCCGGCGGCACUGCCCGGCCCUCUUCUCGCUGCCUGGCCUCUGUUUCCCCUUCGGACGCUGCCACCCUGUGGAAGCCUGCGCAGCCACACCGGGCCUGAGACGGCCGCGGCCGGCGGGAAGCGGAGGGCUUGUUGUCGCGGCAGCCGCGGCAGGACUUGUCAUGGAAUCUUUAUCUCCAAACUCAACAGGCACAACUUCUGCCAGCAUUGUGUGAUGACCAAAAGCAACAAUUCCUGGGAAAGCAUUUGAGGACCUACUUCUUCAUGGUUUUGGUGUCAUUUGAAGAUCUGUCUGUGGACUUCACCUGGGAGGAGUGGCAGGACCUGAACACUGCCCAGAAAAUCCUGUACAGGGAUGUGAUGCUGGAGACCUAUAGCAAUCUACUAUCCUUGGGUGAGUGACAGUCCCCUGACGUUCCCAACUACAGCAUUUUAUUCCCCUUUGACAAAUAAAUGAACACUUUUAAACA
rnacentral:lncRNA from 1 species